AUUGAACGCUGGCGGCAGGCCUAACACAUGCAAGUCGAGCGAGCGGCGGACGGGUGAGUAAUGUAUGGGGACUGCCCGAUAGAGGGGGAUAACUACUGGAAACGGUGGCUAAUACCGCAUACUAUCGGAUAACCCAUAUGGGAUUAGCUAGUAGGUGGGGUAAAGGCUCACCUAGGCGACGAUCUCUAGCUGGUCUGAGGGGAUGAUCAGCCACACUGGGACUGAGACACGGCCCAGACUCCUACGGAGGCAGCAGUGGGGAAUAUUGCGCAAUGGACGAAAGUCUGAUGCAGCCAUGCCGCGUGAAUGAAGAAGGCCUUAGGAUCGUAAAGCACUGUUAUCGGGGAAGCGUUAUCCGAACAGAAAGCACCGGCUAACUCCGUGCCAGCAGCCGCGGUAAUAC
rnacentral:rRNA from 1 species